rnacentral:misc_RNA from 1 species
GAUGAAGAACGCAGCGAAAUGCGAUAAGUAAUGCGAAUUGCAGAUCUCCGUGAGUCAUUGAAUCUUUGAACGCACAUUGCGCCCUCGGGUAUUCCGAGGGCAUGCCUGUCCGAGCGUCAUUAUCCAACCAUCAAGCUCGGCUUGCGGUUGAGCCCCGCACCGUCCCCGGGACGGUGGGCUCGAAACAUGUUGGGCGCCCGUGAGGUUCUCGGUGCAGCGAGCUCUCGAGCACGUGCCGGGCAACCUCUCUGGGCGUCGGCCAACCCCCCAAUUUCUCAGGUUGACCUCGGAUCAGGUAGGAAUACCCGCUGAACUUAAGCAUAUCAAUAAGCGGAGGA